rnacentral:tRNA from 1 species
UAGGGCUUGUAGCCUUCUUCUUGA